GUCACACCCGUUCCCAUACCGAACACGGAAGUUAAGCUCUUCAGCGCCAAUGGUAGUUGGGGGUUUCCCCCUGCGAGAGUAGGACGUCGCCGGGC
rnacentral:rRNA from 1 species